rnacentral:misc_RNA from 1 species
GCUUAUCAAAAUCCAAUAAUUCAACCGAGCAACCCUCCCGCCCUAACUUCAUAAAUCCGAUUCGUCCAAACCAGUUCACGGUGAUUUCACGCGAUCCAUUGAUACUAUUCCACAAUAUCUUGAACACAUGUUGAAGGGCGAUUUUUUAUUCUUAACACGACAAAUAUACGUGGAUCGCCCUGCAGGCUGCAGUGCACACGCCCACUGUUUUAUGAAACCAUUGAGCGAUGAGCCCACCCUAAUUCAACCCAACCCAACCCAAACCACCUCUCCCUGUUGUAAACAACUCAAUGAGGUGGUCCCACUACUAGCCUAAUGAGUCUCGUGAAAACCACACACGCAUACUGCUUUAUAGCUUUAACCUUAAAUUAAUCUUUAUAAUUACACUCUCAUACUCUUGAUUAGUAGUAAUAGCAACUGUGAGAGAGAUGCCAUUCCUAGUUCACAUGAUCCGCUUUGUUAUCUCCAUCUUCAUUUUCCAUCGCUGAUCUCUCUGCAUCUCAAUCACAAUAUCAGGUACUCAUUCUCUCUCGCUCACCUGUGUGUUUGCUGACGUUACUGCAUUCUCUCGAUUUCUCCGGUUCUAUGGAUAAUUUUACUUGAAUCAGGAUUUUCACUGAGAUGCGCAUUCUCCAAUUAGGUCUAAGAUUUCGAAUUCAAAGACUGUUUUGAGAUCUGAAUUAAAUGUUUGCUUUAGCUGUCUUUUUAGUAUUGUGAUUACUGUUCAUCUGAUAUUUCUGCUUCUUGUUUUGAUUUUUCAGUUAUUUAGUUUCAAAUCUGUAUUCUUCGCCGUAAUCGCCAUGGAUUCUGAUAACAAGCUCCUCAAUAUGGGUGUCCUCAUCGUGGCCACUCUAAUAGUGGCCAAGCUUAUCUCCGCCUUUGUUAUGCCUAGAUCUAGAAAACGUCUGCCUCCAGUUAUGAGCGGUUGGCCAGUGGUUGGGGGGCUAUUCCGGUUCUUGAAAGGCCCGAUUAUAAUGCUUCGUGAUGAGUACCCAAAGCUUGGCAGUGUGUUCACUGUGAACCUAGCUCACUGGAAGAUUACAUUUUUGAUCGGUCCUGAGGUGUCAGCUCACUUCUUCAAGGCUCCAGAGGCAGACCUCAGCCAGCAGGAGGUCUAUCAGUUCAAUGUGCCUACGUUUGGUCCAGGUGUUGUCUUUGAUGUUGAUUACACAGUGCGACAAGAGCAGUUUCGCUUCUUUACAGAGUCUCUGAGGGUCAACAAACUCAAAGGAUAUGUGGAUCAGAUGGUCAUGGAAGCAGAGGAUUACUUCUCAAAGUGGGGAGACAGUGGUGAAGUUGACAUAAAGUAUGAGCUUGAACAUCUGAUUAUCUUGACUGCUAGUAGAUGUCUACUAGGUCGAGAAGUUCGUGAUAAGCUUUUUGAUGAUAUGUCAGCGUUGUUCCAUGACCUGGACAAUGGAAUGCUCCCUAUCAGUGUUUUAUUCCCAUAUCUGCCCAUUCCAGCUCACCACCGCCGUGACAGGGCUCGUAAGAGGCUUGCAGAAAUCUUUGCAAACAUCAUAGCUUCUCGUAAACUUGCUGGCAAAUCAGAGAACGACAUGUUGCAAUGCUUCAUAGACUCCAAAUACAAAGAUGGUCGCCCAACUAGUCAAUCUGAGAUUACAGGCUUGCUUAUUGCUGCUCUUUUUGCUGGGCAGCACACCAGUUCCAUUACCUCCACUUGGACUGGGGCAUACCUCCUCCGUUACAAGGAGUACUUAUCUGCUGUAUUGGAGGAGCAAAAAGCCCUGAUGAGAAAGCACGGGAAUAAGGUUGAUCAUGAUAUUUUGUCUGAGAUGGAUGUCCUGUACCGGUGCAUUAAGGAAGCGCUAAGGCUCCAUCCUCCACUAAUAAUGCUGCUGCGCAGCUCUCACAGUGAUUUUAGCGUGACAACUCGAGAGGGAAAAGAAUAUGACAUCCCAAAGGGCCACAUUGUUGCAACAUCUCCAGCAUUUGCAAACCGGCUCUCUCAUAUUUACAAGGAUCCUGACAGAUAUGAUCCUGACAGAUUUGCUGUUGGGAGGGAAGAAGACAAGGCGGCAGGGGCAUUUUCAUAUAUUUCUUUUGGAGGUGGUAGGCAUGGCUGCCUUGGUGAACCAUUUGCAUAUUUGCAGAUAAAAGCUAUAUGGAGCCAUUUGCUGAGGAAUUUUGAAUUGGAGCUGGUAUCUCCUUUCCCCGAGAUUGACUGGAAUGCAAUGGUAGUUGGUGUGAAAGGAAAGGUGAUGGUGCGAUACAAGCGCCGGGAGCUUUCAGUUAACUAGUGGGAACAACAUUGUGGAUGUUUUGCAGAUAUUAUGCACGCUAGGGCUUGAUCGUGCUUUGAUUUUAUAUUUUUUAUACAUUUCUAGGAGGUGCUUUGCUCUAUUAAAUGGAUUGUGAAAUUGUGGCCUUAUUUAAGUUUCCAUAGACUUACGGUAAUUGUAGCUUGUGACGCUUAGGUUUUGUUUGAAUUGUGAGGAUUGAGGAUCAAAACUUGGAGUUCUGUUCUAAACUUGUUAACGAUGCAAUUUGGUCUAGCUUUUGUAAGCUUGAAGAAUACAGGUUGAAGAAUACAGAAAACUAGUGCAAGUGCCUUAAUAUAUUGUCUAGUCUUUAGUACUUGCAUAUUCUUGACGGGUGAUGCCUCGAAUCUUGACCAUUUCAUUGCUCUUGCUAAUGGUUGAUUUUG